rnacentral:sRNA from 1 species
UGCGAUAAUGCGCUCAAAAAGUUUGCCC